AUUGAACGCUGGCGGCAUGCCUUACACAUGCAAGUCGAACGGUAACAGGCCGCAAGGUGCUGACGAGUGGCGAACGGGUGAGUAAUGCAUCGGAACGUGCCCAGUCGUGGGGGAUAACUGCUCGAAAGAGCAGCUAAUACCGCAUACGACCUGAGGGUGAAAGCGGGGGACAGUAAGGCCUCGCGCGAUUGGAGCCGCCGAUGUCAGAUUAGCUAGUUGGUGGGGUAAAGGCCUACCAAGGCAACGAUCUGUAGUUGGUCUGAGAGGACGACCAGCCACACUGGGACUGAGACACGGCCCAGACUCCUACGGGAGGCAGCAGUGGGGAAUUUUGGACAAUGGGCGCAAGCCUGACCCAGCAAUGCCGCGUGCAGGAAGAAGGCCUUCGGGUUGUAAACUGCUUUUGUCUGGGAAGAAAUCUUCUGGGCUAAUACCCCGGGAGGAUGACGGUACCUGAAGAAUAAGCACCGGCUAACUACGUGCCAGCCGCCGCAGUAAUAC
rnacentral:rRNA from 1 species